rnacentral:rRNA from 1 species
GAUGAACGCUGGCGGCGUGCCUAAUACAUGCAAGUCGAGCGAACGGACGAGAAGCUUGCUUCUCUGAUGUUAGCGGCGGACGGGUGAGUAACACGUGGAUAACCUACCUAUAAGACUGGGAUAACUUCGGGAAACCGGAGCUAGUACCGGAUAAUAUUUUGAACCGCAUGGUUCAAAAGUGAAAGACGGUCUUGCUGUCACUUAUAGAUGGAUCCGCGCUGCAUUAGCUAGUUGGUAAGGUAACGGCUUACCAAGGCAACGAUGCAUAGCCGACCUGAGAGGGUGAUCGGCCACACUGGAACUGAGACACGGUCCAGACUCCUACGGGAGGCAGCAGUAGGGAAUCUUCCGCAAUGGGCGAAAGCCUGACGGAGCAACGCCGCGUGAGUGAUGAAGGUCUUCGGAUCGUAAAACUCUGUUAUUAGGGAAGAACAUAUGUGUAAGUAACUGUGCACAUCUUGACGGUACCUAAUCAGAAAGCCACAGCUAACUACGUG